rnacentral:pre_miRNA from 1 species
AGUGGAAUAGUUGGGUCAUAUGGUGGAUCCAUUCCUAGUCCUUUAAGGAAUCACUUUAUUGCUUUCCAAAGUGGUUAUACUAAUUUGCAUUCCCACUGACAAU